rnacentral:rRNA from 1 species
AGCGAACGCUGGCGGCGUGGUUGAGACAUGCAAGUCGAACGAGUCUGACCUGGUCGUAAGACCGGGUUAGUACGAGUGGCGUAAGGGAGAGUACAAAACAGGUAACGUGCCUCGGACACCGGGACAGCCUGUCGAAAGACGGAUUAAUACCGGGGAUGUCCCGAUCUGCAUGGAUCGGGAUCAUAGGACGGGGACCCUUCGGGGCCUGUCGGUCUGAGAGCGGCCUGUUUCCUAUCAGCCAGUUGGUGAGGUAACGGCUCACCAAGGCGAUGACGGGUAGCCGGCCUUAGCGGGUGUUCGGCCUCACUGGGACUGAGACACUGCCCAGAGCCCUACGGGGUGCAGCAGUCUCGAAUCAUCCGCAAUGCGCGCAAGCGUGACGGUGCGACGCCGCGUGCGGGAGGAAGCCCUUCGGGGUGUAAACCGCUUUCAGAGGUAUGAAGUGCGCCCGCCGAACAAGCGGGUGGCAUUGACGUCAACUCUGGAAUAAGCCACGGCUAACUUCGUGCCAGCAGCCGCGGUAAGACGAAGGUGGCAAGCGUUGCUCGGAACUACUGGGCUUAAAGCGGGCGCAGGCGGCCCGGUCAGUCGGAUGUGAAAGCCCUUGGCUCAACCAAGGAAUGGCACCCGAUACUGCCGGGCUUGAGGCAUUCAGGGGCGACUGGAACUCUCGGUGGAGCGGUGAUAUGCGUAGAUAUCGAGAGGAACGCCAAUAGCGAAGGCAGGUCGCUGGGGAUGUCCUGACGCUGAGGCCCGAAAGCCAGGGGAGCGAACGGGAUUAGAUACCCCGGUAGUCCCGGCCCUAAACGAUGCACACUAGGUGGGGGAGGGUUUGACGCUCAUCCCUGCCGCAGAGAAAUCGUUAAGUGUGCCGCCUGGGGAGACGGUCGCAAGGCU